CCGGUUAGGUGACCUCUGUGUGUGUAAAUAAAUGGUAGUUUUGUUAGCUGUCUGCUGUCUGGCCUCAAGUGAUUUCUUCCUAAACCAGCUGCCUCCAAGGAUAUAACAAGUGGUGACGAUGGAUGGGAUUCCGGCGCUGCUCCCGUAACAGAAGGAAGUAGAAGUCAAGGCUGCGUUCAUUAUGGAAGAUAUCUUGGUGCUGUGGGUGAGCAGAGAAUCAAGUUAGGACUGAUAACUGUUUCCUGGAACAUGAGCUGACAGGAUUCCAAAUAUUAUUUUAGUGCCCCUGAAA